CAGAUGCUGGAGAGGAGAGGACUCGUCUGACAUUUUCUCUGUUUGUCAUCAGUUAUACCAAAGAAAAGGCCAACAACUGCGACAGCUUUUGAUUUCAGGAGUGUCUUAAAAACCCUCUAAAACAUUUCCAAGAAAAUGUCUAACGGGAGCUGCUGACCGAGAUAGAAAACACAGUUUGUUUAUUUCUAAUAAGGAGCUGGAGGCCGUGAAGAUACAGAUCCAUGAUAUUGUGGAGAAGCAGGCCCAGCUGAGCAAGUGGAGAGCUGUGCUGGAAAUAUUCAGGAGUUGAUGCUCAUACGUCCAGGGUAAGUAUACAGCUAACCCUACUACCACCUCUACACUGUGUGGUUCUCUGCAAAGGUCCGGUGUACCCAGGAUGCGAUAUUCCCAGAUGUCCUUCACCCUAUUUCACAGCGUAAGACAUGAACCAGGCCCUGGGCGACGACCUCUCUCCAUCCGCCGCCUCCGGUCUUCAGGAUCUCCACCAGAACCCGAUUCGCUCCACUUCGCGAGACAGAA